AUAUUUUCUGUGUCUGUUGGUCAUUGUUUAUCUUCAGGGUAUGCCUGUUCAUACCCUUUUCGUGUGUUUAUUGAGCAUUGCUUAUUUUCAUGUCAUGCCUAUUCAUACCAUUGGUCUGUCUCAAGGUUGACUUAGGUAUCUUACUGUUGGCUUGUAAGGGUGCCUGUGCCCUCUUAAGCAUAUGUCAGUGGGAAAGCAUCAAGUAUUUUAAACUGCCCAGAGACAUUACAAGCAGUUUGACUCAGAGGUGCACACAACCUAAUUCCAGCUACCAUUUUGGUAGGGGAGAAUUCUGCCAUUGAUAAUCGAUAGUGGUAGAGUCUCUACAGAAUCAAGAAUCAGUCUCUGGCCUGUUAGCAUGGUGGUAGGCCUACUGAGGGAAUGCAGAGUUAUCAGAGAUAUCCUGUUUGCAUUAAGGAUAUCACAAAUUUAUGAAUUUCUCGUGUUAUAUAAAUUUAGAAUCCCUCUGUGCGGUUGGAAAUAUUUCGCUGUUAUUUCUGCUAGAGGUUUUUUUUUUUUUCCUUUAGCUAAGUUGUGUGGAAACUCAAGAGAUAAGUAGCUCAUUUGUGGUAUUGUGAAUUUUUCCAAAGGGGGGGAAACUAUUUUUCCCCUUACAGACAGUUGAAGGAAAUUAUCUUUUCUGUUUUUAAAUGAUCAUAAUUGGCCUUCUCUAUCACUGACUUGUAAGACUAUGGAGUAUGUAUAAAGUUAUGUUUAUUCAUCAGAUGUCCUUAACAUAAAUAUGCUAAACUUGAUUAUGUUAAUUUCAGAAGAAAAGAACAUUAAGCUUAGAAUUAGGCAAAUAUAAGCAAGUUGCCACUGUGUAUAAGGAUGCUUCUCUUUCUGGAAGAACAUCUGAUCUCAUCCCUAAAUCUAAUUAGCAGUUGUUUAUUGGUGUCCACGCAGAUCCCUUCCUCACCUCUGUGACAAGUGCAUUGUCCAGGAGAUGCAGAACAUUGGCUGUCAAUUAGAAUUCUGGGCUGGACCCCUCCAGCCUGGAUUAGGCCCGUGAUGGCAGGCAGCACAACAGUGUCCGUGAGCCACGGAAGCCAGAGGUCAAAUGCUCAGCCAUCCACAUGAGGGAGGUGGCUGUUCUCAGAUACGCAGGAGUGGGUCUCGCAGUCAGAAACACUUUAGUCAGCCGGUGCCCUUUGCUUUUCUAAAUCCGUUUCCAGAGUCUUAUCAGCCUCUUAGAGCUGCUG
rnacentral:lncRNA from 1 species